rnacentral:rRNA from 1 species
CCUACGGGUGGCAGCAGUGGGGAAUAUUGGACAAUGGACGCAAGUCUGACCCAGCAACGCCGCGUGAGGGACGAAGGCUUUCGGGUUGUAAACUUCUUUUAGUGGGGAAGAGCAGCAGACUAUACCCCUUUCAUCAGCCGCGGCUAACUACGGGCCAGCCGCCGCGGUAAUACGUAGGUGGCAAGCGGUGUCCGGAUUUACUGGGUGUAAAGGGCGUGCAGCCGGAGAGACAAGUCAGAUGUGAAAUCCACGGGCUCAACCCGUGAACUGCAUUUGAAACUGUUGCCCUGGAGUGUCGGAGAGGUAAGCGGAAUUCCUGGUGUAGCGGUGAAAUGCGUAGAUAUAAGGAAGAACACCAGUGGCGAAGGCGGACUACUGGACGAUAACUGACGGUGAGGCGCGAAAGCGUGGGGAGCAAACAGGAUUAGAUACCCUAGUAGUC